GACGAACGCUGGCGGCGUGCUUAACACAUGCAAGUCGAACGGAAAGGCCCUGCUUGCCGGGUACUCGAGUGGCGAACGGGUGAGUAACACGUGGGUGAUCUGCCCUGCACUUCGGGAUAAGCCUGGGAAACUGGGUCUAAUACCGGAUAGGAGCCAUUUUUAGUGUUAUGGUUGGAAAGUUUUUUCGGUGUAGGAUGAGCUCGCGGCCUAUCAGCUUGUUGGUGGGGUAAUGGCCUACCAAGGCGGCGACGGGUAGCCGGCCUGAGAGGGUGGACGGCCACAUUGGGACUGAGAUACGGCCCAGACUCCUACGGGAGGCAGCAGUGGGGAAUAUUGCACAAUGGGCGCAAGCCUGAUGCAGCGACGCCGCGUGGGGGAUGACGGCCUUCGGGUUGUAAACUCCUUUCGCUAGGGACGAAGCUUUUUGUGACGGUACCUAGAUAAGAAGCACCGGCUAACUACGU
rnacentral:rRNA from 1 species